AUUGAACGCUGGCGGCAUGCUUUACACAUGCAAGUCGAACGGUAACAGGCCUUCGGGUGCUGACGAGUGGCGAACGGGUGAGUAAUGCAUCGGAACGUGCCCAGAGGUGGGGGAUAACGCAGCGAAAGCUGUGCUAAUACCGCAUGUGAUCUGAGGAUGAAAGCGGGGGACCAGGCAGCAAUGUUUGGCCUCGCGCCUUUGGAGCGGCCGAUGUCAGAUUAGGUAGUCGGUGGGGUAAAGGCCUACCAAGCCGACGAUCUGUAGCUGGUCUGAGAGGACGACCAGCCACACUGGGACUGAGACACGGCCCAGACUCCUACGGGAGGCAGCAGUGGGGAAUUUUGGACAAUGGGCGCAAGCCUGAUCCAGCAAUGCCGCGUGCGGGAAGAAGGCCUUCGGGUUGUAAACCGCUUUUGUACGGAACGAAAAGGCUCUGGCUAAUACCUGGGGCUGAUGACGGUACCGUAAGAAUAAGCACCGGCUAACUACGUG
rnacentral:rRNA from 1 species